rnacentral:lncRNA from 1 species
AUGGCUGAGUAGUAUUCCAUUGUUUAUAUGUACCAUGUCUUGUUAAUGCAUUCAUCUGUCCUUGUUGGACAUUUAGAUUGUUUCCAUGUCUUGGCUGUUUUGAGUAGUGCUGCAGCGAACAUAGGGGUGCAUGUCUCUUUUUCAGUGCAACAUUUGACAUGGAUAUACAAACACCUAAGUGAGUAUGUAGGGUCAGUAGUUGGAGAUAAAAAUCUAGAGGUCAAAUAAUAAAUCAGGAUUGAAGUCCUAUAGUUCAAUGGUAGACAUAAAUAGCUUUAUUUAGAGCUAUUUCAGAAAGAGCUUGAGAAGAGAUGUACUUCCUCAGAUAUUUAAAGGCAUAUCCAGUAUUUGAGGCUUAUCAAAAACUGCAGGUGAAGUUAAUGACAGAGAAGAAGACAGAAAGAGAAUGGGUUUUGACAAAAAAAUAGUAGAAAUGGGGCAAAGAUUUUUGACAAGCAGAAAACUAUGAGGGCUUUGGAUAUCCAGUGGGUUUUGAAAAUACAUAUUCUAGGAGUUCUCCAGUGCCACAGAUGGUUAAGGGUCUAGCAUUGUUACUGGAGCCACUUGGGUCACUGCUGUGGUGUGGGAUCGAUCUCUGGCCUGUGAACUUCCACAUGCCUCAAAUGUGGCCAAAAAAUUAAAAUAUUCUAUUCAGAUGAGCUGAAGAUGGAACAUGUAACUUUGCUAAGAAAUUUGUUGCUCAUCUAUGUAGUCUAGAGAUAUAUGAGCCUGGUUAAUUGAAACCAUAUCUGGUUUUGUUAAUUAUAAUUACUGAAGUUCCCAUAGCAUGACCAGGAAGUACAAUGUUAUUUUUAUCCUCAGUCUUGUGAGGCAGAUGAUAUAAGAACAAAACAAUUUGUAUACAAACAUGUGGAAUGAUUAAUCCAGAAUUUAAUGUGGUUUAACCUGUUUUCCAGACCCAGUAAAUGGCUGAACCAGAAUUCUUUUUUUUUAAAUAUAUUUUUAUAUAUUUGAACCAGAUUUCUAACCUAUCUUUUUCUUUCUAGGUCUAAUGUUCUUUCUAUAACACAAUGCCUUUUGUUCUUAACAAAUGCAUAUUUUUAUUAUUAUUAUUAUUGUAAGUUAAUGCACUGUUUUCAAGAGACUGAAAAAACUGCCUGAUUAAGAGCUUGCAUAUUGACAUCAGGUUGCCCAUAUAUGAUUUCUAGAUUAGCCAUUAAAUCCAUCUGUGUGACCUUGGAAAUUGACCUUUCUAAGGGUCAAUUUCCUCACCUGUGAAAGUGUAUUAACAAUGUUUCCUUCAUGGUAUCACUUUAAUGUUAAAGUGAAAUAAAAGUGUCAGAUUUAUGCCAUGCUAAACUUCUCUGAUCAAAAAUUUUUUUAAAUAAUGAAAUGAUAAUUAUUUAAAUAAUGAAUUGGGUCCCUUUUUAUGUCUUUUGGGGGGGGCUGCACUCACAGCAUAUGGUAAUUGCCAGGCUAAGGGUCGAAUUGGAGCUACAGCUGCUGGCUUACACCAUAGCCACAGCAUCAUGGGAUCCGAGCCCCAUCUGCAACUUACACAGCAGCUCACAGCAAUGCUGCAUCCUUACCCAACAGAGUGAGAAGGGAUCUAAUCCAUGUUCUCAUGGAUACUAGUCAGGUUCAUUUCCACUGAGCCCUCAUAGGAACUCCAGAACUGGAUCCCUUUUAAAAGGCACUUAACAUCAUCCUUUUUUUUUUUUUUCUCUAAAGUAUUUAACAAAAAAUGCAGACUUUAUUUUGUCUUUUUGACAUUUUCUUGGGCCGCUUCUGCAGCAUAUGGAGGUUCCCAAGCUAGGGGUCCAGUCAGAGCUGUAGCCACUGGCCUAUGCCAGAGCCACAGCAAUGCAGGAUCUGAGCCGCAAAUGCAACCUACACCACAGCUCUCGGCAAUGCCGGAUCCUUAACCCACUAAGCAAGGCCAGGGAUGGAGCCCACAACCUCAUAGUUCCUGGUCAGAUUUGUUAACCACUGUGCCACGAUGGGAACUCCCAGAAAAUGCAAACUUUUAAAAGAAUGAAUUCCAGGAUUUUUUACUGAAAUGUCUUCAUAGGCUGUUAUUGAAUAAGUUUGAAAUAACUAUAAUUUUUCAGAUAUCUACUUACUUAUGAACCCAGAAACAUUUGUUUUAUGCCAUAAUUAAGCAGUAAAAGCUGUGCUUUAAUUAUUUAAGUUCAAAGGUUAUACUUUUUGUGGUAAUUACACUGGUUCAAAAUUCUGAACAUAAUUAUAGCAACUAAUGAGACUGUUUCUCUGCUCUGUAUAACAGGUACCAUUUAUAACCAGUUAUUUAGAGAAUUCCUAGGACUUAUUUUCAGUUAGGAUAUUUGAGAUAAUUAAAAGUUUAUCUGCACUCUAGAAUAAAAGUAAUUGAUAGCAGAUGUGAAUGAAGAAAGUUUGUUUUUCUCUGAAAAUAGUGCAAUAGUUGUUUCAGUGGGAAAAUACAAUAUCAACUGAUUGUGGGAUUAAUAUAUUAUCUGCCAAGCACCAUAAUACAUAAUGAAUCCAAAACAAAAGCAGCUCUUUUAGAAAUGGUAUCUGGAAUAAAUGUUCCAGGAUCAUCUAAGUAGGUAAUGUGGCCAGAUGUGUGAGGCACUUAGGUCCCAUUGAUCUCUAUGACUUCUCUGUUUCUUAACUCACUAUACAGAACACAGUCAACACUGAGUGACAGUAUGAAGUAAAGCAUAUCACAGCCUUUUGCUCGCACACAUUCAAAGGAUUUUCUCAUAAGAUCCAUAGUGUAACCACAAAACAUCCUGAUGUAUUCACCCUUUGGACCUGAUAUCACAAAAUCAAC